rnacentral:rRNA from 1 species
AGCUCCAGUAGCGUAUAUUAAAGUUGUUGCAGUUAAAAAGCUCGUAGUUGGAUUUCUGGUAUGCUGCGCCUAGCCCGCGUCCGUUAGGACGUGAGUGUUGGUGCGCGGUUGCCAUCCUUCUAGAGAACGUGUCUACCCUUCACUGGGCCGGAUUCGGGAUCUAGAUCUUUUACUUUGAAAAAAUUAGAGUGUUUAAAGCAGGCUUUUGCUAUGAAUACAUUAGCAUGGAAUAAUAAUAUAGGACUUUGGUUCUAUUUUGUUGGUUUCUAGGACUAAAGUAAUGAUUGAUAGGGAUAGUUGGGGGUGCUAGUAUUCAGCGGCCAGAGGUGAAAUUCUUGGAUUCGCUGAAGACUAACUUAUGCGAAAGCAUUCACCAAGGAUGUCUUCUUUAAUCAAGAAC